rnacentral:rRNA from 1 species
AUUGAACGCUGGCGGCAGGCCUAACACAUGCAAGUCGAGCGAGCGGCGGACGGGUGAGUAAUGUCUGGGAAACUGCCUGAUGGAGGGGGAUCACUACUGGAAACGGUAGCUAAUACCGCAUACCAUCAGAUGUGCCCAGAUGGUCUUAGCUAGUAGGUGGGGUAACGGCUCACCUAGGCGACGAGCCCUAGCUGUUCUGGGAGGAUGACCAGCCACACUGGAACUUAGACACGGUCCAGACUCAUACGGGAGGCAGCAGUGGGGAAUAUUGCACAAUGGGCGCAAGCCGGAUGCAGCCAUGCCGCGUGUGUGAAGAAGGCCUUCGGGUUGUAAAGCACUUUCAGCGGGGAGGCGUUACCCGCAGAAGAAGCACCGGCUAACUCCGUGCCAGCAGCCGCGGUAAUAC